rnacentral:misc_RNA from 1 species
AACGCAUAUUGCGCCUUCUGGUAUUCCGGAAGGCAUGCUUGUUUGAGUAUCAGUAACAACCUCAACUCCCUCUCUUUGCGGAAAGGGUGUUGGAUUUGAGCACUUUCCACCUAGUUCACAUUGUGGACUUGGAGGAUGCUUGAAAUAUGAGGUUCGGCUGGCAAUUGCCUGGGCUACAAGCAUUUCAUACUUAAUCCCGUCAAACGGAUUAUAUCCUUUGCUGCAGCCAACAUACAGGGCAACUGUCCAGUUCCGACUGAUGCAGGAAAGUUGAGGACUUUGUUCCUCUUCGAAACUCGAUCUCAAAUCAAGUAAGACUACCCGCUGAACUUAA